UCCUCCCUCUGGCGGCGUGCUUAACACAUGCAAGUCGAACGGAAAGGCCUCUUUCGGGGGGUACUCGAGUGGCGAACGGGUGAGUAACACGUGAGUAACCUGCCCUUGACUUUGGGAUAACUUCAGGAAACUGGGGCUAAUACCGGAUAGGAGCUCCUGCUGCAUGGUGGGGGUUGGAAAGUUUCGGCGGUUGGGGAUGGACUCGCGGCUUAUCAGCUUGUUGGUGGGGUAGUGGCUUACCAAGGCUUUGACGGGUAGCCGGCCUGAGAGGGUGACCGGCCACAUUGGGACUGAGGUACGGCCCAGACUCCUACGGGAGGCAGCAGUGGGGAAUAUUGCACAAUGGGUGGAAGCCUGAUGCAGCAACGCCGUGUGCGGGAUGACGGCCUUCGGGUUGUAAACCGCUUUCGCUCAUGACGAAGCUUUGUGUGACGGUAGUGGGUAAAGAAGCACCGGCUAACUACGUG
rnacentral:rRNA from 1 species